rnacentral:rRNA from 1 species
AAUAGAUACCCUGGUAGUCCAUGCCGUAAACGUUGGGCACUAGGUGUGGGGCUCAUUCCACGAGUUCCGUGCCGCAGCAAACGCAUUAAGUGCCCCGCCUGGGGAGUACGGCCGCAAGGCUAAAACUCAAAGGAAUUGACGGGGGCCCGCACAAGCGGCGGAGCAUGCGGAUUAAUUCGAUGCAACGCGAAGAACCUUACCAAGGCUUGACAUGCACGGGAAGCCAUCAGAGAUGGUGGUCUCUUUGGACACUCGUGCACAGGUGGUGCAUGGUUGUCGUCAGCUCGUGUCGUGAGAUGUUGGGUUAAGUCCCGCAACGAGCGCAACCCUCGUCCCAUGUUGCCAGCGGGUUAUGCCGGGGACUCAUGGGAGACUGCCGGGGUCAACUCGGAGGAAGGUGGGGAUGACGUCAAAUCAUCAUGCCCCUUAUGUCUUGGGCUUCACGCAUGCUACAAUGGCCGGUACAAAGGGCUGCGAUGCCGUAAGGUGGAGCGAAUCCCAAAAAGCCGGUCUCAGUUCGGU